rnacentral:rRNA from 1 species
AGUGAACGCUGGCGGUAGGCCUAACACAUGCAAGUCGAACGGCAGCACAGUAAGAGCUUGCUCUUACGGGUGGCGAGUGGCGGACGGGUGAGGAAUACAUCGGAAUCUACUUUUUCGUGGGGGAUAACGUAGGGAAACUUACGCUAAUACCGCAUACGACCUACGGGUGAAAGCAGGGGAUCUUCGGACCUUGCGCGAUUGAAUGAGCCGAUGUCGGAUUUGCUAGUUGGCGGGGUAAAGGCCCACCAAGGCGACGAUCCGUAGCUGGUCUGAGAGGAUGAUCGGCCACACGGGAACUGGGACACGGUCCAGACUCCUACGGGAGGCAGCAGUGGGGAAUAUUGGACAAUGGGCGCAAGCCUGAUCCAGCCAUACCGCGUGGGUGAAGAAGGCCUUCGGGUUGUAAAGCCCUUUUGUUGGGAAAGAAAAGCAGCGGGUUAAUACCCCGCUGUUCUGACGGUACCCAAAGAAUAAGCACCGGCUAACUUCGUG